rnacentral:sRNA from 1 species
UGUCGUCUGACCUUAACAAUUUAGAUGACAACGCUAUAAUGUUUAGCAUACUAUUUAUUAGGUAACUGAAAUGCAAGUCCCGAUUUCAAAACUGCUUAGGAUUCUACAUUCUUUUCCUUUUUAAAGACUUUUAAAAUGCAUUUUACGGAGAAUAUUGUUCAAUUUGAAAAUUUUAAAACGGUGACGUUAUUUUCAUUAUGAUGUACAUGUACUUUCAGCCACAUUUCUUUGUAUAAGUCUCAAUGUAGCCCAUUAACCCAUUAAUCCGGUUACUGAAAACCUGUAUGUUUUAUCAUCCAAUGGGUGCAAGAACAAAACGUGACGUCAGGUACUUAAAAUUUAAUCAGCAACAUCAGGAAGAGAAACGUUUCCUUAUAACAUACAAGAACUCAAUAUAUUAUAUCAUGAACUCAACAUCAAUUACAAAGAUGGUGUAAUCUGGAAUUUAAAAAAAAAGUACACUUAAUUGUAAAAAUAGUACUUUCCUGCAAAAUGGAAAAUAAAAACAACUUUUGCAUUU